UUGCGUUGAUUUUUUUUUUCUUCUUUCUCUUUUUUUGACAGUACAGGAAGUGGCUCAAAGACAACACACACACACACACACACACACACACACACACACACAAGACUGCUUCCUAAAUCUGAUAUAUUAAAUUUAAAUCCUUAACAUUAAUCCACUACAUAAAAAAAACUAAAAUAAAUUAAUAAAUAAAAAAAAUGAAACCAAGAAUUUUUAAUGAUAACAAGAAUGAAAGAAGCACAUAUACUUAACUUCCAAUGUGUAUCUCAGUCUGGCUUGUAAUAAUCACAGUCGGAAAGGUUAGUUAAGUCCAGGCAUACAUGUGGAUCACCUUGCUUUAUUUACCAACACUCCGAUCAUAUAAUUUCAGAAUCAAUAAUAAAACUACGUGAUGAACUGGCAAUACUGUUUUGUGGCAGCCGGCAGAUUUGAGAACAUAAGAGAGCAAUGUCUCGCUACGUAAUGACUGUGGGUGUUCGUCCCUGCGUCGGAAUACCACGCACGCUGAGACGCAGGGAUUGUUUAUGGGAUGUGGAGUUGCUUGUCCUAGAAUGAGUAUGUAGUUGAAGGUUCUGUCUACUUAUAUAAAACAUUAACACUCUUUCAAGGUUUGCAUUUUUUAUAUAUGAGGUUGUUUGGCUUUGAAUAUCAGGGAAGGAGAAUGUAGUUGAAGGUUCUGUCUACUUAUAUAAAACAUUAACACUCUUUCAAGGUUUGCGUUUUUUAUAUAUGAGGUUGUUUGGCUUUGAAUAUCAGGGAAGGAGAAUGUAGUUGAAGGUUCUGUCUACGUAAAAGAAAACAUUAUCACUCUCUCAAGGUUUGCGUUGUCGAUAUAUGAGGUUGUUAGGCUUUGAAUAUCAGGGAAAGUGUGUGUAGUUGAAGGUUCUGUCUACGUAAACAAACCACUAUCACUCCCUCAAGGUUUGCGUUGUCAAUAUAUGAAGUUGUUGGGCUUUGAAUAUCAGGGAAUGGGUAUGUAGUUUAAGGUUCUAUCUCCCUAUACACUCCAGUACCACUCUCUUUUGAGGUUUGCGCCUUCUAAAAAUCAUAGUUUGUUAUCGAUAUAUGAAGUUACGUGGCCUUGACUAACAGAGGAUUUGAAUGAGUAUGUAGUUGAAGGUUCUCUCUACACAAUCAAACCAUUUCCAUUCUCUCUUGAGGUUUGUGCCUACGAAAAAUCAUAGUUUGUUAUCGAUAUAUGAAGUUACGUGGCCUUGACUAACAGAGGAUUUGAAUGAGUAUGUAGUUCAAGGUUCUCUCAACACAAGCAAACCAUUUCCAUUCUCUCUUGAGGUUUGUGCCUACGAAAAAUCAUAGUUUGUUAUCGAUAUACGAAGUUACGUGGCCUUGACUUACAGAGGAUUUGAAUAUAUAGUCUAAGGUUGACUCUAUGCAAAAACAAAUCAUUUCCAUUCUCUCUUGAGGUUUGCGCCUUCUAAAAAUCAUAGUUUGUUAUUGAUAUAUGAAGUUAUGUGCCCUUGACUAACAGAAGAUUUGAAUGAGUAUGUAGUUCUAAGGUUGACUCAACACAAACAAACCAUUUCCAUUCUCUCUUGAGGUUUGCGCCUUCUAAAAAUCAUAGUUUGUUAUUGAUAUAUGAAGUUAUGUGCCCUUGACUAACAGAGGAUUUGACUGAGUAUGUAGUUCUAAGGUUGACUCUACACAAACAAACCAUUUCCAUUCUCUCUUGAGGUUUGUGCCUUCUAAAAAUCAUAGUUUGUUAUUGAUAUACGAAGUUACGUGGCCUUGACUAACAGAAGAUUUGACUGAGUAUGUAGUUCUAAGGUUGUCUCUACACAAACAAACCAUUUCCAUUCUCUCUUGAGGUCUGCGCCUCCUAAAAAUAAGUUUAUCGUAAGUAAUAUCAGAAAAGUAAAGCAUAAUCAGCGAAUGAAAGACGUAAAUCACGAUCAGAGUAAAGCCAAUUAUAAACCGAAACCUCUCCAAAGAAUCAGAGCAGAGUCGCAGAUAAAAUCUCUUGUACCGGUUCACCCUAAUUCAUAAUGAGAUAACCACCAAUCACCAAUCAUGUGUUAAGAGCUACCAGCAGACACAUACUGAUUCACCCUAAUUCAUAAUGAGAAAACCACCAAUCACCAAUCAUGUGUUAAGAGCUACCAGCAGACACAUACUGAUUCACCCUAAUUCAUAAUGAGAAAACCACCAAUCACCAAUCACGUGUUAAGAGCUACCAGCAGACACAUACUGAUUCACCCUAAUUCAUAAUGAGAAAACCAUCAAUCACCAAUCACCAAUCAUGUGUUAAGAGCUACCAGCAGACACAUACUGAUUCACCCUAAUUCAUAAUGAGAAAACCAUCAAUCACCAAUCAUGUGUUUAGAGCUACCAGCAGACACAUACUGAUUCACCCUAAUUCAUAAUGAGAAAACCAUCAAUCACCAAUCACGUUAGGCUCAGAUAGAAGAAAGGAGGGAAGAAGGAGGGUGAAAAAGAAAGCGAUAUGAACAUGGAGGAGGAGAAAGUGGAGAAGGGAGGAGAGGAGGAGGGAAAGAAGAAGGAAGAGGAGGUGGAGGAGGGAAAGAAGGAAGAAGAAAGGGAGAAUAGAAGAAAAUAAAGAGGAAUAAGUGGUGAGGAAUAAAUGGAAGAAAGGAAGAAGGGGAAAAGAAGAUGGACACAUAGGAUUGAUGUCAUGUGUCCUUCAGCCUCCAAAUCAUAGGAAAAUAUGUGUGACUUCAUGUUCAUAAGACUCCAUAAUACACAUAACAUCUUUCUGCCUAAGUGGACACAUAGGAUUGAUGUCAUGUGUCCUUCAGCCUCCAAAUCAUAGGAAAAUAUGUGUGACUUCAUGUUCAUAAGACCCCAAAAUACACAUAACAUCUUUCUGCCUAAGUGGACACACAGGAUUGAUUUUGUAUCUCUCAAUUGACAAACUUAAGGGAAAAAUGUUUGACUUCAUCUUCCCGGAGUCCCAGAAUUUAGGACACACAAGUAACAUCCUUCUGCCUAAACGGACACAGGAUUGAUGUCUUGUGUCCCUCGGCCCCCAAAUUUAAAGGGAAAAACAGUUUGACUUCAUGUUCUCGGAGUUCCAGAAUUUAGGACACACUACAAGUAACAUCCUUCUGCCUAAACGGACACAUAGGAUUGACGUCAUGUGUCCAUCGGCCCCCAAAUUUAAAGGGAAAAACAGUUUGACUUCAUGUUCUCGGAGUCCCAGAAUUUAGGACACACUCAAGUAACAUCCUUCUGCCUAAACGGACACAUAGGAUUGACGUCAUGUGUCCCUCAGCCUCCAAAAUUUAAGGGAAAAAGUAUUGACUUCAUGUUCUCAGAGUCCCAGAAUUUAGGACACACUACAAGUAACAUCCUUCUGCCUAAACGGACACAUAGGAUUGACGUCAUGUGUCCCUCGGCCCCCAAAUUUAAAGGGAAGAACAGUUUGACUUUAUGUUCUCGGAGUUCCAGAAUUUAGGACACACUACAAGUAACAUCCUUCUGCCUAAACGGACACAUAGGAUUGACGUCAUGUGUCCCUCGGCCCCCAAAUUUAAAGGGAAAAACAGAUUGACUUCAUGUUCUCAGAGUCCCAGAAUUUAGGACACACUACAAGUAACAUCCUUCUGCCUAAACGGACACAUAGGAUUGACGUCAUGUGUCCCUCGGCCCCCAAAUUUAAAGGGAAGAACAGUUUGACUUUAUGUUCUCGGAGUUCCAGAAUUUAGGACACACUCAAGUAACAUAUUUCUGCUUAAACUUCACAGAGAGAAAACAAUAACAUGAAAACUCACUGUACUUAAAAUACUUUGACACAGAGCUUGAAAUUCCAUAAGCCAGCAACACAGAAAUACGUAUGUCCCUUAAAGCCAACAGAAAAACAGACACAAACACACACACGCAGGCUUACAAACGAACUAGCAAAUAUAAUACACUACAUAAAGAGUAUUCAAAGUCUUGGCAAACGAAUCAAAACAAAGACACUUGCCCUGUUAACUCUAUGAUUGGGUGCUUAGAAACUACAUUGAACCAGGGUCCCUAUUCUUAAGGCCAAAUUUGUGGCUUUACCGUGUACCAGCGAUGGGCCAAAUUUGUGGCUUUGCCGUGGACCAGCGAUGGGCCAAAUUUGUGGCUUUACCGUGGACCAGCGACGGGCCAAAUUUGUGGCUUUACCGUGGACCAGCGACGGGCCAAAUCUGUGGCUUUACUGUGUACCAGCGACGGGCCAAAUUUGUGGCUUUACCGUGUACCAGCGACGGGCCAAAUCUGUGGCUUUACUGUGUACCAGCGACGGGCCAAAUCUGUGGCUUUACCGUGUACCAGCAACGGGCCAAAUUUGUGGCUUUACCGUGUACCAGCAACGGGCCAAAUUUGUGGCUUUACCGUGUACCAGCGACGGGCCAAAUUUGUGGCUUUACCGUGUACCAGAGAUGGGCCAAAUUUGUGGCUUUACUGUGUACCAGCGAUGGGCCAAAUUUGUGCCAUGAUAUAAACCCCCCAAAAUAGAUGAUACAUAAACUGAUCACAAAUGCAGCAGGGGGUCAUGUUUCUUAAAGGCCCCUCUAAGCGAGAAAAACGAGAAAGAAUCAUCACUCACGCAAACCACUUCAUAAUUUAUAUAUCAACGUAUUUGUGAUCAGUUUAUGCAUCAUCUAUUUUUGGGGGUUAUAUGAAUGAGUAAUGCGUACUUUAAGGUUCUCUCUAUGCAAACAAACCAUUU